rfam:Glossina pallidipes unplaced genomic scaffold Scaffold163, whole genome shotgun sequence.
AGGUCCCACCAUCGGAAGCGUGCUAAUGACAACCAGCCUCCGCAAAGUAAUACGUAACGGUGGUCCCGCGGGGUGAGUGGUGGAAGAAGUGCGUGGGGGGGUAGUUUUUAGUACGUAUGCGCCAUGGUUGUCGAAUCGUGCAUGCUGCUACUAAGAACCAGCUUUUGAAGAUUUUCUACCUCCCGCUC